rnacentral:rRNA from 1 species
UACGUAGGCAGCGAGCGUUGUUCGGAAUUACUGGGCGUAAAGAGUGUGUAGGCGGUGCUCUAAGUUCGGUGUGAAAUCUCCUGGCUCAACUGGGAGGGUGCGCCGGAAACUGGAGUGCUUGAGCGUGGGAGAGGAAAGCGGAAUUCCUGGUGUAGCGGUGAAAUGCGUAGAUAUCAGGAGGAACACCUGUGGUGUAGACGGCUUUCUGGACCAUAGCUGACGCUGAGGAGCGAAAAGUGUGGGGGAGCGAACAGG